rnacentral:rRNA from 1 species
GACGAACGCUGGCGGCGUGCUUAACACAUGCAAGUCGAGCGGUAAGGCCCUUUCGGGGGUACACGAGCGGCGAACGGGUGAGUAACACGUGGGUGACCUGCCCUCAGCUCUGGGAUAAGCCUGGGAAACCGGGGUCUAAUACUGGAUAUGACUCCAUGACGCAUGUUGUGGGGUGGAAAGCCUUGUGCGGCUGAGGAUGGGCCCGCGGCCUAUCAGCUUGUUGGUGGGGGGAU